rnacentral:misc_RNA from 1 species
GAUGAAGAACGCAGCGAAAUGCGAUAAGUAAUGCGAAUUGCAGAAUUCAGUGAAUCAUCGAAUCUUUGAACGCACAUUGCGCCCGCCAGUAUUCUGGCGGGCAUGCCUGUUCGAGCGUCAUUACAACCCUCAGGCCCCCGGGCCUGGCGUUGGGGAUCGGCGGAGCCCCCCGUGGGCACACGCCGUCCCCCAAAUACAGUGGCGGUCCCGCCGCAGCUUCCAUCGCGUAGUAGCUAACACCUCGCGACUGGAGAGCGGCGCGGCCACGCCGUAAAACACCCAACUCUUCUGAAGUUGACCUCGAAUCAGGUAGGAAUACCCGCUGAACUUAAGCAUAUCAAUAGCGGAGGA